CGGCGAUCCGGGGUCUGGGCGCGGCGAGGUCUGGUGUGGCAGAUGUGGAUAGCUGGACCCUCCUGGGUGCCUCUGCGUUAUGUCGUUUGGUUGAUGCAUUUGGAGAGAAUCUGUGCUCUCCACAACUGCAGGGGCAACAUGCUUUCCUGGCCUCUUCAGAUCAGGGUGGCUGUUCUUGGGUGCUGCACCAAAACUCCAGCAGUGGGCUUUCUUCAAGUGGCCGGCUCACCUCAUUCCUGCCAAGACCCAGGUCCGUGUUCUCACAGUGCUGCCAUCUUUCCUCCGUGUGAGCGUGGGCUGUGCGGAGAGUGGACCUCGGUGUGUGCGGGGCUGCGUGCACUGCCAUCGCUCCCUCUACACGAGCCGGCGUGGACCCAGGGCUGAGCUGUGACCACGAGGGCCAUCCCGACGAGCCGCCAUGGACCCAGGGCUGAGCUGUGACCAUGAGGGCUAUCCCGACGAGCUGCCGUGGACCCAGGGCUGAGCCGUGACCAUGAGGGCCAUCCCGAAACUGUGAUUGUUUUCUGAUGAAGAAACCAAGGCUUUGUGACUAACUCAACCCCUCAAGAAGGACAAAACUAGCAUCAGAGCCCCUUGCUCCUGGGUCUGGCAAGAAUGCCUCUUGUUUGCUGAGAGGUCCACAGAUUUACCCGGCUCAAGACUGGGAGAUGGGAGGUGACCAGGGUCUCGGUCUGUCGCCCAGGCUGAGUGCAGUGGUGUGAUCUUGGCUCACUGCAACCUCCACCUCCUGGGCACAAGCAAUCCUCCUGCCUCAGCCUCCUGGAUAGCUCAGACUACAGGGGUGUGCCACCAUACCCAGCUCAUUCUUUUGUAUUUUUAGUAGAGACAGAGUUUUGCCAUGUUGCCCAGGCUGGUCUCAAACUCCUGGGCUCAAGUGAUCCACCCGCCUUGGCCUCCCACAGGGCUGGGAUUACAGGAGUGAACUCCCAUGCCUGGCCCUCAUGAUCCUUUGUAGACUGAGGGACAAAAGAAGAGGGUGAGGCCUCCCCUCUCCUCAGCGCUGAGUGCAAGGACCCUCAAGGCAACUCUUGGCAAAGCCCCAUGUUUCCACUGGCUGUUUAGGUGGAAUUGCGUCCCCCCGCUUCCGUAUGUUGAAGUCCUAAUUUUCGGGCCCUCCGCUUGUGACCAUAUUUGGAAGUAGAGGCUUUGCAGAUGUCAUGAGUUAAGAUGGGGGCCUCCUGGAGCAGGGCAACAUGACUGUAUCCUCAUAAGAAGAGGAGAGACAGAAACAGACACACACAGGGAGAUGCCACGGGACUCCCAAAGCCACAAGAAAGCCUGGAACAGCCCCGCCCUCACAGCCUCUGAAGGAACCAGCCCUGCCUUCACCUGGAUCUGGGACUUCCAGCCUCCAGGACUGGGGGAGAAUGAAACUCUGUUGUUUCGGCCACUCAGGCUGGGGUGCUUUGUUAUGGCAGCUGAGUGGGUGCCUCCCUCUCUGGGGACGGCCAAUCCCUGUAGGGGAGGCAGUGGUCCCGGUCCAGGAAGGUGAGAGAGGCUUUCUCAGUGUCUUCACUUCGCCAGCUCACGUGGAGACUGGUAGCGGCUGGAGCCCAAGCUCUUCUGGGGAGCCGGUUUACUCAAGGUCACCCUUGAUCCAGCGGAGCCCAAGGUCUAGGUCAAGCUUCCUCUGGGAUGUCCCCAAGGCUCUUCAAACAGGUGUCGUCAAGCCAUCUGCCCAAGGGCCCGUCAGCACCUGGCAGGUGUUAGCCAGGCUGAUCUGCAGGCGGGGCUGCCCCGAGUGGGGCUCCCACUGCCCGGGUUGGGACUGGAGCAGCCAAGUGGCUGAGCAACAAGGUGCUUCAUGUGUGGUCCCUGUGAGCCCCCCUGAAUAGUCUCAUGGACAGACGGAUGGACGGGAGGCUCAGUGGGCUCUGGGAGCAAGGGGAGCGCUUGCCGCUCUCCACGUGGCUCCAUUCCAGGACCAGGACAAUGAUGUCUUCCUGUCUGCAGCCAGAAGCAGGGCAGCUGACAGCGGCCCAGCCCUCCUGAGGGACAGGUGUCCGCUCCCAGAAACCUCCCUUCCAC
rnacentral:lncRNA from 1 species